CGAACGCUGGCGGCGUGCUUAAUACAUGCAAGUCUUACGAGAAAGCAUCCUUCGGGAUGUGAGUACAGUGGCGGACUGGUGAGUAACACGUAGGCAACCUACCCGAGAGCGGGGGAUAACCCUGCCAACGCGGGGCUAAUACCGCAUACAACAAUUGAUUCGCAUGGAUUGAUUGUCAAAACGGGGGAUCCUUCGGGACCUCGUGCUUUCGGAUGGGCCUGCGCUCCAUUAGCUUGUUGGUGAGGUAACAGCUCACCAAGGCAACGAUGGAUAGCCGACCUGAGAGGGUGAACGGCCACACUGGGACUGAGAUACUGCCCAGACUCCUACGGGAGGCAGCAGUAGGGAAUAUUGCGCAAUGGUCUAACGACUGACGCAGCAACGCCGCGUGGGUGAUGAUAGCUCUACGGAGUGUAAAACCCUGUUAGAGGUGAAGAACAAGCAGGCUUCGAAUAGUAGUCUGCUUUGACGGUAGCCCCAGAGAAAGCACCGGCUAACUCC
rnacentral:rRNA from 1 species